rnacentral:rRNA from 1 species
AUUGAACGCUGGCGGCAGGCCUAACACAUGCAAGUCGAACGGUAACAGGAAGCAGCUUGCUGCUUUGCUGACGAGUGGCGGACGGGUGAGUAAUGUCUGGGAAACUGCCCGAUGGAGGGGGAUAACUACUGGAAACGGUAGCUAAUACCGCAUAACGUCGCAAGACCAAAGAGGGGGACCUUAGGGCCUCUUGCCAUCGGAUGUGCCCAGAUGGGAUUAGCUAGUAGGUGGGGUAACGGCUCACCUAGGCGACGAUCCCUAGCUGGUCUGAGAGGAUGACCAGCCACACUGGAACUGAGACACGGUCCAGACUCCUACGGGAGGCAGCAGUGGGGAAUAUUGCACAAUGGGCGCAAGCCUGAUGCAGCCAUGCCGCGUGUAUGAAGAAGGCCCUCGGGUUGUAAAGUACUUUCAGCGGGGAGGAAGGGAGUAAAGUUAAUACCUUUGCUCAUUGACGUUACCCGCAGAAGAAGCACCGGCUAACUCCGUG